UACGUAGGGUCCGAGCGUUGUCCGGAAUUACUGGGCGUAAAGAGCUCGUAGGUGGUUUGUCGCGUUGUCCGUGAAAACUCACAGCUCAACUGUGGGCGUGCGGGCGAUACGGGCAGACUGGAGUACUGCAGGGGAGACUGGAAUUCCUGGUGUAGCGGUGGAAUGCGCAGAUAUCAGGAGGAACACCGGUGGCGAAGGCGGGUCUCUGGGCCACUACUGACGCUGAGAAGCGAAAGCAUGGGGAGCGAACAGG
rnacentral:rRNA from 1 species